rnacentral:tRNA from 1 species
GGUCUCGUAGUGGAAUGGCUAACACGCCCGCCUGUCACGCGGGAGAUCGCGGGUUCGAACCCCGUCGGGACCGCCA